UGGGGAAUAUUGCACAAUGGGCGAAAGCCUGAUGCAGCAACGCCGCGUGAGUGAUGAAGGCCUUCGGGUUGUAAAGCUCUGUCUUUUGGGACGAUAAUGACGGUACCAAAGGAGGAAGCCACGGCUAACUACGUGCCAGCAGCCGCGGUAAUACGUAGGUGGCAAGCGUUGUCCGGAUUUACUGGGCGUAAAGGAUGCGUAGGCGGAUUUUUAAGUGAGAUGUGAAAACCCUAAGCUUAACUUGGGGACUGCAUUUCAUACUGGAAAUCUAGAGUGCGGGAGAGGAGAAUGGAAUUCCUAGUGUAGCGGUGAAAUGCGUAGAGAUUAGGAAGAACACCAGUGGCGAAGGCGAUUCUCUGGACCGUAACUGACGCUGAGGCAUGAAAGCGUGGGUAGCAAAACAGGAUUAGAUACCCUGGUAGUCCACGCCGUAAACGAUGAGUACUAGGUGUAGGAGGUAUCGACCCCUUCUGUGCCGCAGUUAACACAAUAAGUACUCCGCCUGGGAAGUACGAUCGCAAGAUUAAAACUCAAAGGAAUUGACGGGGUCAUAGCUGUUUUCCU
rnacentral:rRNA from 1 species